rnacentral:lncRNA from 1 species
GAUGUUUUUGGUUUUUGCUGUGCUUGGGAUCAAACCCAGGGCCUGAAAUGUGCUAAGCAAGGGCUCCACCAGUGAGCUACAUCCCCAGCUCUUGAUUUUGGUUUGUUCUUAAUGUCAAAAUCAUGCUAAUAUUACACAAAGAAAGUUAAUUGAAGUAUUUCCCCUGCUCAUUUGAUUGUAGCCUUCCAAGGAAAGGGAGGCAGAGUCUAUAGCUUAUUUUACACAUUUAGCGUCUGAUUCUUUCCUGCAUCAAAUGUAUGAGUCACAAGUUGGCCUCAUAAUUGCUUGGGAAACCUUUCAGGUUGUUUUGACUUGGAGACCAGGUUUAGUCGGAAAAAAGCCUUAGGUCUGAACUUUGUCCUAGGUCCUAUUCCUGAUUCCACCUCAGGCUGGCUUUGAACCCUAAGUGAGUUACUAAAGCACUUUGAGCCUCACUGUCCCCAUCUGUAAAUCCCUACCUUACAGAGCUGUGAAGAGGAUGAAACCAGAGAGGGUAUAAAUCACGGAAUGUGGGAGUGUUCCUUUCCUCUGUGUCUACCAUGCUUAUAAGACUUUGAUAUUCUGUCAGUUUCCUUAAGUUCACUGGCUAAAUUAGAGAUUUUGGGGGUAGCCCUAUAAGUUCUAUAUGGUGUCUUGAAAUGUGAAAUGAAUUAUUUUAAAUUGAAAAGACACAGCACUUUUAAGAUACUCAAGAUUCUGGCUACUGGCCUUUCACUCCCUCAUUCUUUCAAGGAGAGACUUGGGGUGGGGUCCAACAAAGGGAAGUAGAGGUGAAAGUUAAGACAAUAGCACCAGAUUAUCAGAAGAGGAAAAGGCAAGCAUGCUGGUUAUGAAGAAUAACAGAGCUGCAGUGACUGGCUGGGUAGCCAGUUUGAGGGCAAAAAGAGAAACACAGUAAAUUACUUUCAAAUCAGAAAGGGGAACUCAUUACAGUUACUCCAAGGAAAAAGCAAAACAAAAUAAAACUUUUCCCCAUGACAGUAAAUUAUAAAACAAACAAAAACUUCUUGGGUUCUUAAGCUGCUGAAUUCUCUUUCCUGCUCUAAAGUUAAUUGAAUGACUUUAAACCAACUUACUAAGUUGCUCUGUGUCUUGAUUUCCACAUCUGUAAAAGGGAGCCAGUAAUGUUAGUCAUUCCCCCUCUUAUAUGGUGUUGAUUGGUAAUUACUGAAAAUGCUGUUAUACCUAUGCAAAUCGCUACUAUUCAUCAACUAACAACAAUAUAGUUUGGAUAAUUUGUGAUAAGCCACAAUUUAUGUUUGAGACUUAUAAAAGAAUGAUAGAUUUCUACUAUCCCUGCUACCCCUCUCCAAGCAACCUCCCAAAAAACGAUUUUCAAAAAUGUAUUUUGAGUAAACAGUCCAGCAAUGUGAUGGUCUAGUAUUAGGGAAGACAGCUAGGAAGCAGAUUCCCUUCAGAUCUAGUUGCCCUGAGAGACGCAGAUGGGUUGCUAUGGGCUUGGUGUGAACCUGGAAGAAGGGCUUAUCUUUUCUGAGUGUUUCCUCAUCCACACUACCUGCUUCAGAGGCUGCUAUAAGGAUUAACUGAGAUGAUGCAUGCAAAACUCUUAGCAAACCGCCUAUCCACAGUAAGUGGGCAACAUGAGUGGUCCUUGAAACAGCUUAGGAGACCCACAGCUCUCUAUGGAACACAAUUUAGAAUCCACUUUCUGGGUUGGGGAUGUAGCUCAGUGGUAGAAUUACCUGGAAUGCUUGAAGCCUUGGGUUCAAUCCCUACCACCACCAAAACCAAGACAAGUUCCACUUAAGCAAUAAGCAAUAGAAUCAAUUGUUGAAGGCAAGGCAAUAACACUAAUUUUUAUCUUAGAAAAAACACAAUAAAAUGAGUAUACUUUUUGAAUAUAAUGAAUGAUUGAUAUUCUUAGGAACAAGGUAAAGAAAAGAGAAGUAGGUGAUCUAUCAGAUAAAGCCAAGCUUGGUUGGUUAACCUGCCUCAGAAUUGGGCCUCUCAUGUGCCAGGCAAGUGCUCUAUAUCACUAAGCUACAACCCCAACCCUCUGGUCAUCAUUUUUUGUCAACAACUUGUAAGAAGACACAGAAAGGAGUCCUGUCAAAUUUGCUGAUUAAGCCAGAAUGUCAGGUUCUAGACUCAGAAAGACUUCUGUUAGGCUGCAAAGAUAAACUGAAAAUUUUAUCCAAAAUAUAAGUAAGACAGAUUGGAAAGUCAACCCCCUCACAUUUGAACCUGCACCUGAGUAGUUGCAAGUCUGGCAAAGCAUCACAAUCGUGUAGGGAACCUUAAAAACUAGAGAGAAGAUAAAUUCCAGACCUACUCCAGACCUGCAGAAACAAAAUCUUGUAGGAUGUCCCGUUUGUGCUAUUCUAAUCUUCAGUUGUGUUUAGGAAUCAGAACUGUUUCUUUCUUUUUUUUAUUGGUACCUGGGAUUGAAUUCAGGGGCACUCGACCACUGAGCCACAUCCUCACACUAUUUUGUAUUUUAUUUAGAGACAGAGUCUAACUGAGUUUUAGUUGCUUAGAGUCUCACAAUUGCUGAGGCUGGCUUUGAACUCACAAUUCUCCUGUCUCAGCCUCCCAAGCCACUUGGAUUACAGGUGUGUGACACCAUGCCUGGCCAGAACUGUUUCUUAAAGUGUGGUCUCAGGACCAGUGGCUUCAACAUCAUCUGAGAACUUGCUAGAAAUAGAAAUCUUUGAGUCCUACUCCCAAUCUGUGAAUCAGAAACUUGGAGUGUACAACUUGAUGACCUGUGUUUUACCAAAUCCUCCUUGUGAUUCUAAUGUUUGAGGACCAUUGCUAGAGAAAAGUACUAAGUCCUUUUUCAACACAGAGCAUUCCUAGUGUAAUGGAUGGAAAUCUUUUUACAAUAGCAGUAAGAUCCAUUAAAUGCAAAGGUAUUAAUUCAACUUGGGACAUAAAAUAAUUAGUCAAAGAAAAUUAUGAAGACUUAAAAGAAGAAAUAAAUGAGAAGCUAGAUUAUCUCCUGGAUGGAAAGACCCAUGCAUGCACAAAUUUAAUUUGGAACUCAUGACAAUCUCCUUUUAUAGAAUAAAUGAGGAAAAAUACCAAUAAAAAUGUGUUAGAAUCAGAUAUGUGCUACCAAAUUUUCAAACAAAGUGGCAAUUCUCAAAUCAUUACAAAAUCAAGUUUAAAAUUUAAAAAAUCAUUCAGUAGGUAAGACUAGAUAUUUCAGAAAUAGGCUCAAACUAUUUUAAAAGCUUAAUCUGUGAAAAACCUACAGGAGAGGGACUAUUUAGUACAUUAGCUUGAACCAUUUCUUUGUUUUCUGUUCAUCAUUUAUCUGUCAAAUGUGUAUUGAACAUGUACUUUGAGCCGUCCCCACUAAAGCUACUGUGCAUAGUCCAGCAUGGCAGGUCUCUGCCCUCAAAAACCUCAAGCAAACCGAACAUCAUGGGAUAUGCUGUGAUAUACAUGGACAUUCAAGAAUGAUGGGCAGUUGUGCAGAUGGAUGGAUGGAUGGAAGGAAGGAAGGAGGGAAGGAAGGAAGAUGGAUGUGUAGAUGAAUGAAAGGAUAAAGAAGGGAAUUGCUCUAGAAUGUCAUCUAAUCUCUCUUGGUGGAGGUGGGGCUUGAGAACUUCCCAGGAUGAAGGCUUGACCCUAAAGAUUACAGAGAUUCAGGUAGAGAACAUGGCGAGGUUUCCUAAAACUGGGACCUGUUUGAUAUAGAGACACAGAAAUUUAACAGAAAGAGCAGAGCACCUGGAAACUGACUGGGAGUGAUGAGAAAUAUGUCAGAAGGCGUGUACAGGGCUUGGCUCAAGUGGAGAUGGAUUAGCCAAUACCCCACACUAGUAAGCUGCUAUUGGGCAUAGAGUAAACCCUGAACCUGUGGCAACUUUCUAAAGGGAGCACAACCAUGUUUGCUUAGCUCUGGUGAGGUGAUACAUUUCUGACUAUUGAAGAGAUUAAGUAUUCUAUCAGAGCCAAGACUGAUGAAUUGGGCUAUACAAGAGCGUUUUCAGGAUAAAAUAUAAUUAAGCAAAAGGAGAAGUCAGAGGUUAGAAAAAAAUAUGCAGGCGAUAAGUAAAAUUUAUCAAAGCUCAAUGGCAAAUAGAUAAGGAGUUGGAGACAGAAUAAAGUCAUGGAAGGAGGUUGAACUUUAGAGUCCAUUAGGCCAGGUGCUGCUUGUUACAACUGAUGUGAUGGAACCUUUCCAGUUGUUUCCUUAUGCUUAAAUCAGGAACAUUAACUUUUCACAAAACUGCCAUGAGAAUUAAACAAGAAAUACAGUGGGCACUCAAAUAACCAUAGUUCUCUUUCCUCCUUUCAUCGUUUAUGAAGAUUUACAAAAUAAGAGCUAACAUUUUUAGUGUUUGUGCCAAAUACCUCACAUAUUAUCUUAUUUAAUCUGUUCAACAACCCUAUGAGUUUGGAACUGUAAUUACUUCCAUUAUAUAGAUGAGAAAGUUGAGGUCCUGAGAAGUUAGGUGACUUGCCUCAUGCUUAAACAAUUCCUUAAUAGAGCUGGGAUUUGAACCCAGCUUGCUUUCUUUAGACUCCAGGUUUGUAACCCGAAAGGCACAGUGCCUCUCAGUCCAUGAUUUGAGAUAAUGAACAGACCUACUGUCCACAAAGAGAUGAACAGAAAAUCACUGCAAGAAAAAGCCAACUGUGGCAGAACUGUGGACAGAAAAGUAACACUUCUGAGUGGUAGAGGAGUUGAAGUCUCCAUAAGGGGGAUGAAGCUUUUCUAGAAGACUCAUGAAGAAUUCUGCAACUGGUGUGGUAGAACUGCUGCCCCUGUGGCCCAUGGAGGACAACUGCUGUGGCAGAGGCACUCAGGGCCUGAUGGUGCCUUAGUCAUGGGACUCUGGCUGGGCUCUUCAUCUCUCUGAGGGGCUUUCACCUCAUCCACAAAAACAAAACUAACACAGUAAUAAUUCAACUCUGACUCAUUUUUUUUGUACUGUGGAUUGAACCCAGGGGUGCUUUACCACUGAGUUAUAUCCCCAGUCAUUUUGAUUUUUUAUUUUGAGACAAGGUCUUUCUAAGUUGCAGAGGAUUUUGCUAAAUUGCUAAAGCUGGUCUCCAGCUUGAGUUCCUCCUGCCUUAGCCUUUCAAGUGGCUGGGAUUACCACUGUGCCUGGCCCAAACUCACUUUUAUAAGAAACCCACCUCUGCCAUAAUGAACCUAUUCCUUCAAUAAUGACAUUAAUCUAUUCAUGAAAGCAGGGCCCUUAUGCCCUAAACACCUCCUUCGUGGCCCUAUCUCCCAAUUCUAUAGCAUUGGGGAUUCAGUUUUCAACACAUGAACUUUGGGGAACACAUUCAAACCUCAGAACAUCUAUAUGAAAAUGUCAAAUAAGCUACAAGCAUUAUACAAAUAAUAUUUAGUAGUAUCAUCUCAUUUGCUGAGGGGGAUGNUUAUUUUAUU